AUUGAACGCUGGCGGCAGGCCUAACACAUGCAAGUCGAGCGAGCGGCGGACGGGUGAGUAAUGUAUGGGGAUCUGCCCGAUAGAGGGGGAUAACUACUGGAAACGGUGGCUAAUACCGCAUACUAUCGGAUGAACAUAUAUGGUAUGAGCUAGUAGGUGGGGUAAAGGCUCACCUAGGCGACGCUCUAUCGCUGGUCUGAGAGGAUGAUCAGCCACACUGGGACUGAGACAAGGCCCAGACUCCUACGGGAGGCAGCAGUGGGGAAUAUUGCACAAUGGGCGCAAGCCUGAUGCAGCCAUGCCGCGUGUAUGAAGAAGGCCUUAGGGGUGUAAAGUACUUUCAGCGGGGAGGCGUUACCCGCAGAAGAAGCACCGGCUAACUCCGUGCCAGCAGCCGCGGUAAUUC
rnacentral:rRNA from 1 species